rnacentral:rRNA from 1 species
GUGGCGCACGGGUGCGUAACGCGUAUGCAACCUACCUUUUACUAGAGUAUAGCCCAGAGAAAUUUGGAUUAAUCCUCUAUAAUAUCUUUUAAUCUCCUGAUUUUAAGAUUAAAGUUUUAACGGUAAAAGAUGGGCAUGCGUCCUAUUAGUUUGUAGGUGAGGUAACGGCUCACCUAGACUACGAUAGGUAGGGGCCCUGAGAGGGGGAUCCCCCACACUGGUACUGAGACACGGACCAGACUCCUACGGGAGGCAGCAGUAAGGAAUAUUGGACAAUGGACGAAAGUCUGAUCCAGCCAUGCCGCGUGCAGGAUGACAGCCCUACGGGUUGUAAACUGCUUUUAUACAGGAAGAAACACUCCGACGUGUCGGAGCUUGACGGUACUGUAAGAAUAAGGAUCGGC